CCGCCCCCCUCCCGCGCCGGCGGCCGAAGCGAGACACCCCCGCCGCGGCCCGGCCCGGCCCUCACGACCACCCCCACCCCCCCCGCUGGAGCCGCCGGGGCGCAGGAGCGGGGCGGGGAGAAGCGGCGCCCCAGCCGCGCACGCAGAUCAUUGAUAAAGACAUUGAACUGCGUUGGCUCCUUUGAAGCUGUUAAAUAACCCAUUAGAAGAGAGUAGAAACAUGCUGAGGUAGCUGCUAAUUGGUUUGCAGAGCAUUUGAUACAGAAGUAUCAUUCGUCCAACUUGAAGACUUCUUGGAGUGCAGCAGUGGGACCAUAAAGAGUGGGGCACUGUGGCACCCUCUUUUAGAAACCAAGGAAGUGGCAUCUUUGAGCAGAGACAACUUUGGUCUGGGGCAGAGAGUUGGAGGAAACCUGAGCAGGACACAACUAGCCAGCUUGCCAAAGACCACCAACGGCACAUCUUAGGAUUCCAACUGAAACGGUCAAUCGCACAGAGAAAAACAGAUGCACAUACAUUUAUCCAAGAACUCUGCAGCUGAACUGGUGAAAUGAAGAACUUGGGGAUAUAUUAUUACUGAGACAGUAUAAAAGUUCCAUAUGGUUCCCAUUGCUGAUAUUUCUAUGGAGUGAGGCCUACUGACUGCAAUUUAAAAAUUAGAUUUUUCACUUGUAUUAAUUAAAUAUCUGAUUAUAUAUUUUGGUUUCAUUUCACUAAUGUUUAGACCAUGUUUCACAGAUUUUGUGCACCAAAACUGUUUGUAAACAUGCACCUCUACACAUUCCUCCAGAAGUCUUGCUGUCCUCCAUGAUCUCAUUCCAGCAAACACACCACAGUGUGUAAAAUAAUAAGUGUCACACGAGACUUCUCAAAUGUAAGGUUACAGAAAUUGUCAUGGUUCUGAAGUGAACCAUCCAGGUUAACAGGUGGGAAGCACUAAAUCAAUUGCAUCUCCUCCUUUCUGGCACAUUUGAGUUGGGCUGAGGCAGUCCAGGAUGAAGGUCAGAGUCUUCUCCAAGGCCUGCUAGAGUUCCAACUCCUGCUAUUGAAUCUGCGACUUGUUAAUGUAAAGAGAUUAAUUGGCACCCUGGGAGUUGCGGUUCUGAGAGUGCCAGAGGCAAAGAGAUUGGGAAAUGGGAGGGUGGGAAACAAAAUGGGAAGGGAGAAAAAUGAAGACUGGAGCAGGGAAGCAAGAGAGACAACAGGGACUGGGUGAGAGCUCUGCGAGCAGAACCUGAAGGCAGGCAGAUGGAGAUUGCUCUGCUGCAGCUAGAAGCAGGACACAUCAUCACAGUAAUAAAAUCUGCUUUGUUCCUUUUUGAACGCAAUGCUCCAGUUAUAAGCUGUGACAUCCAUUAGCUCAGAAAAAUCAGGCUUGGAGUUGGGAUUUUUAAUUUUGUUUGCUUUUUUAACAUUAAACUAGUUUCAUUAUUGACCUGUACAAGACUGCGUGAAAGGUUGGAAACAUCCUUAAAGUUGAGUGUAACAGAAGAACCCAGCUGGUUACCAUGCUGACAAAGGGACAAACACAACAUUGGAUUGAACAGAUACUCAUUCAGUGUGUAGUGGAAAGGAAAACAGAUGUGAUGUGAUCAACCUGAGCUGGCACAUCCAGAUGAUGAAGUCCAAGUCCCAAAGAAGCACAGUCCUAAUACCUAACACAACUACAACAAUUCUGCUAAGGGUAAGAGGCCAGACAUCACAGUACUGCACAGUGGCUUUCUGCACACUGGUCCCAUCUGUUCUCUGUCUGAAAAUCACGUACAACUGAAUUUUUUUUAGGGGACUGAGGGGAGAUUUUUGCUAGUGCAGGUUGUGAAAUCCAUUUCACUUGGCUCCAGAGCAGCAGCCUGACAGCCGCCGCAGCAUCCUAAGGAUGUGACUGCUGUGGCUUGCCUGAGAAAAGGCAGACUUCUUCAAGUAGUGGUACAACAGCUAUACAAUGGCCAGAACCUCCUUGUAAAAUUGCUGGCUGUAUCACAGCAAGCUUACAUUGAAGAGCUCUCCUAUGGUUGGAAAGAAAUCCAGGACCUCACAAGUUUAAGAGUAGUCCAAAUGCCAGUAAGUUUUCCUUCAUUUAUUAAAAUUUGAAAGCAAGAGGAGAACUAAUCCUAGAAACACAGGGAGCAUAAACUGUAAAGAAUAUAAUCUCAAAUACUUGUAAGUUAGGACAAGGUUUUUCCAUCCUUUCACAGUAGGUGAAUACCCUCUACAAAAAUUCAGUUAUGAGCUUGGGCUGCCUUAAGAAUGGCAUGUGUGAAUUGCUUUGCAACAUAAACAUCCUUGCUUUUCUUAAAAUGUCUUUCAUAGACCUCUUCACAGUAGUUCACAGAUAUCUGCAUGUCAGCAGGUAACAGGAUGAAAAACGCCAAACUUGUCUUCCACAAAGCUCAAAAAUUGUCCAUCUGCAAUUCCACCCAUCCAAGUCCAUUCGAGUCAGUGCAAAUAUCAAAUGUCCACUGGAAAGGAUCCCUCCCCCUUCCAGAGACAGACAUUUCACACAUCCCUCUCUAGUUUGUCCAGUAUACAACUGGUUAAGCUGUAAACUCUAGAGGUUGGGUUUGUUUUUUUUUUUUUUAAUCUCCCAGUAUUUCUAGGAAACAAGUAUUUGGGUUACAUUAAAUAUUCAAUAUACAAGCUGCUGGCAAGGCAUCAGAAAAUCAAUAGCUUCACACAUUUAUAACUGAGCAUUUACACAUGAAAGGUUGUAUACUGAGACAGAAACUCUCUC